ensembl:lncRNA
UGCUUGUUUUCACAGAUGCCUUCCGCCCGAUGACAGCUGGGAUAGGCUCCAGCACCCCCCACCCCCCGUGACCCUGAGGGAGAAGCGACUUAGAAGAAACACCAUGAAGGACGGUUGACUGAGCCUACAUAUGUAAACAUCUCUGCAGCACAGAAAGGGAAACUCCAAGUGUCUCUACCUUGACUGGUUGAAAAGUCUCAAAAUUAAUUUACAUUUAUGGCAUUUGGCUGACGCUCUUAUCCACAGCGACUUACAAUUUGAUCAUUUUACAUAGGUAGGCCAAGGCGGUGUUAGGUGUUAGGGUGUUUUGCCCUGGUGGGAUUGAACCCCAGUCUACAGUGUAGAAAGCAGAGGUGUUAACCACAACACUAUCCCAACCAAUUCAGAUUCUCAAAACCAAAGAUACAGAGCAGUCUGUGUGUGACAUCAGUGGAGCAAGAGCCCCCACAACCCAAGCAGCCCAGCACAGUUGUGUCUUCACGCUAAGCUGGUAGAACAUUUUUGCCUUUAACAACAAAAGCACUGAAGUAUUAUCCAUAUUGUUACGUUUCAUUCUCACAUUGCUUUUUAUGUCACUUCAAAAAAGAACAUGCAUUUAAGGAAAAAAGUGAUACGCAAAUUGUUUAUGGCAUGCAAUGUAUGAUUAAUAUGACACUUGUUUUUGUGUUUUUCAGCUGUCCUACAUCUUAGACGAAUACAAGGAGGUGAACUUAAUGAAGUGGCCAGUUGGCAUAUACAGUGGCGCUUGAAAGUUACAUCGACCAUAAUGAAAUGAUCAAUAGGAGCCACCAUUGUCUUCCGCAGGACAUAUAUGCCAGUGUUUGCCAAAGGAUACAAAACAAAUCAAUGGAUCCAGAAGUGCGGUCAGUCACGUGGGUCCAGUGUCAGUGCUGUGGGGGUCAGUGACUGUGCUGGAGUGGAAACACUGAAGGAAGACUUGCCGUUCAGCUGUGGAUGUCGCUCUAUCCUUGCAAAAGAUACUACAAGGAUAGGCUCCAGCACCCCCCCCCCUCCCGCGACCCUGAUGGAGAAGCGGCUUGGAAAAUCGGAUAUGUUUUAAAACAACACUACAGAAUCUGGCAUCCCAGAAUGAAGAGAACCUGCAUAGUGUCCCAUUUGUGAAAUCCCUGAUCAGUAGGUGGAACCAGACAUUUCACUGCCAUGACGGACAGUCUGUUCAUUUACUAAUUCAAAUAUUUUAAAUAAUAUUCCGCUUGGAAUUUCUAAAGGAAUUGGUUGUUUUAUGGCCCUGCAAAUGUUGUAUUUCAUUCACUGCUGAGCUAGAAUUUCCAGAAGAACUAAUUUUAUACCUAAAUAAUUGUACCUAUUUAAAUAUUCUGUUAUUCAUCCCUAACUGAGGUGUUUUUUCCAUGAGAUCUGGAUCUUUUAUUUUUCAUUGCCUCCUUUUUGGAUCCUUUUUUUCACUAUCUACAGCUCUCUCUCUCUCUUUUCAUUACCUAUAGCUCCUUCAGUAGCACUUUACUUCACAGAUCGGUAAUGAGGGGGU